AGAGUUUGAUCCUGGCUCAGAUUGAACGCUGGCGGCAGGCCUAACACAUGCAAGUCGAGCGGUAGAGAGGUGCUUGCACCUCUUGAGAGCGGCGGACGGGUGAGUAAAGCCUAGGAAUCUGCCUGGUAGUGGGGGAUAACGCUCGGAAACGGACGCUAAUACCGCAUACGUCCUACGGGAGAAAGCAGGGGACCUUCGGGCCUUGCGCUAUCAGAUGAGCCUAGGUCGGAUUAGCUAGUUGGUGAGGUAAUGGCUCACCAAGGCGACGAUCCGUAACUGGUCUGAGAGGAUGAUCAGUCACACUGGAACUGAGACACGGUCCAGACUCCUACGGGAGGCAGCAGUGGGGAAUAUUGGACAAUGGGCGAAGGCCUGAUCCAGCCAUGCCGCGUGUGUGAAGAAGGUCUUCGGAUUGUAAAGCACUUUAAGUUGGGAGGAAGGGCAUUAACCUAAUACGUUAGUGUUUUGACGUUACCGACAGAAUAAGCACCGGCUAACUCUGUGCCAGCAGCCGCGGUAAUACAGAGGGUGCAAGCGUUAAUCGGAAUUACUGGGCGUAAAGCGCGCGUAGGUGGUUCGUUAAGUUGGAUGUGAAAUCCCCGGGCUCAACCUGGGAACUGCAUUCAAAACUGUCGAGCUAGAGUAUGGUAGAGGGUGGUGGGAUUUCCUGUGUAGCGGUGAAAUGC
rnacentral:rRNA from 1 species